GAUUGCAGGCUCCUCUUUUAGAGUUUGCUUGCAUGUCGAUUACCCCGCUGAACUGAGUGACUUUUUUUUCUAACAUAUUUAUUUUUAUAAAAAGACGAGUAAUUGUUUCUAUGAAGAAUUCUUUUCUUUGGAAUUUUUAUUAUAACGAGGAAACUGCCGGUAGAGUUUAAUUGAAAAAUAAUUUGCCCCGGUUGAAUGAUCUUUCACUCUUGAUUUAGUAUAAAAUCUACAAUAAUUGUAUUUGAAAUUUGUGGAGCAAUGAUUUUGUAGUUGUCUUAAAUUAUUGUUGUGUCCGCGGCCAUGCGUUUGGUCAGUUGAUUUUUCUGUUUUUGGUUUUCAGAUUUGAAGCCUUAGCUUCCUUUCCUACAUUCAACUCAACUACACCCUCUGUCUUAUUUUAUUCGUCCCA
rnacentral:lncRNA from 1 species